AGUUUGGGCGCUGAACACCGCUGGCCGUUCAGGAGUUACAAUGGCCGCUGCCACGUGUUCGACAAACGAACAAAGGCCACCCAGCGUUCAUCAAUUAAGCUGCGGUUAACCGCAGCUUUUGGGCCGUCAAUUGACGGCACACUCCAUUUCCCAGGUGGUCCAUCGUUUGUUACUUUGUUCGGUAGAUUGAAUUUACUGAACACCCCGGCAGAAAGGCACAAAUAAACCUUUCAGCAGGUAACAUAACCGGUUUUAACUGCAGGGCCAUAGUCUAAAGGGAGCAGGCGAGCAACCGGGCUUCUCCAGUGCACAGUGGCGAGGUUGGUUCCGCCACACCAGUGUUCGGUAAAUAUGUCAAAAUAUAUGAACGCAUGGUGAAUGGAGUAGAACUAUGCAACAUUGAAAUGGGCUACACUGAAAGAAUUAUUGCAAGCAAGGGGAAAAAGCACCAGCAAUAAAACCAAAGCGACACUUGUGGCAGAACUCAUGGAGUAUACUGCUUGUAGCGGAG